GGACGAACGCUGGCGGCGUGCCUAACACAUGCAAGUCGAACGGGGAAUCAGAUGAAGCUUGCGAUUCUGAAUCUUAGUGGCGGACGGGUGAGUAACGCGUGGGUAAUCUGCCCUUGAGCGGGGGAUAACAGUCGGAAACGACUGCUAAUACCGCAUACACUACCGGGAACACAUGUUUUCGGUAGCAAAGGUGGCCUCUGAACAUGCUACCGCUUAAGGAUGAGCCCGCGUCUGAUUAGCUAGUAGGUGGGGUAACGGCCUACCUAGGCGACGAUCAGUAGCCGGCCUGAGAGGGUGUACGGCCACACUGGAACUGAGACACGGUCCAGACUCCUACGGGAGGCAGCAGUGGGGAAUAUUGCGCAAUGGGGAAACCCUGACGCAGCGAACCGCCGCGUGAGCGAUGAAGGCUUUCGGGUUGUAAAGCUCUGUUCUAAGGGACGAAGUCCCUACUUGUAAAUAAUGAGUAGGGUGACGGUACCUAAGGAGAAAGCCCCGGCUAACUACGUGCCAGCCGCCGC
rnacentral:rRNA from 1 species